UGGGGAAUUUUGGACAAUGGGCGAAAGCCUGAUCCAGCAAUGCCGCGUGUGUGAAGAAGGCCUUCGGGUUGUAAAGCACUUUUGUCCGGAAAGAAAUCCUUGGCUCUAAUACAGUCGGGGGAUGACGGUACCGGAAGAAUAAGCACCGGCUAACUACGUGCCAGCAGCCGCGGUAAUACGUAGGGUGCAAGCGUUAAUCGGAAUUACUGGGCGUAAAGCGUGCGCAGGCGGUUUGCUAAGACCGAUGUGAAAUCCCCGGGCUCAACCUGGGAACUGCAUUGGUGACUGGCAGGCUAGAGUAUGGCAGAGGGGGGUAGAAUUCCACGUGUAGCAGUGAAAUGCGUAGAGAUGUGGAGGAAUACCGAUGGCGAAGGCAGCCCCCUGGGCCAAUACUGACGCUCAUGCACGAAAGCGUGGGGGAGCAAACAGGAUUAGAUACCCUGGUAGUCCACGCCCUAAACGAUGUCAACUAGUUGUUGGGGAUUCAUUUCCUUAGUAACGUAGCUAACGCGUGAAGUUGACCGCCUGGGGAGUACGGUCGCAAGAUU
rnacentral:rRNA from 1 species